GAGGAGCCAGCACCAGGUUCUGUCCCAGCAGAGGCGCAGGGGAGCAAGCCUUUAGCGAGAUGUUGUAGAAUUGCCGCAAAAGCAACGAGAACUUUUCUUUGCUAGACUACCCAAGACAUCCACUGGACCUUAAAUUAAGAGCUGAGA